rnacentral:rRNA from 1 species
GACGAACGCUGGCGGCGUGCCUAAUACAUGCAAGUCGAACGCAUUUUCUUUCACCGUAGCUUGCUACACCGAAAGAAAAUGAGUGGCGAACGGGUGAGUAACACGUGGGUAACCUGCCCAUCAGCGGGGGAUAACACUUGGAAACAGGUGCUAAUACCGCAUAAUUCCAUUUACCGCAUGGUAGAUGGCUGAAAGGCGCUUUUGCGUCACUGAUGGAUGGACCCGCGGUGCAUUAGCUAGUUGGUGGGGUAACGGCCUACCAAGGCUGCGAUGCAUAGCCGACCUGGGAGGGUGAUCGGCCACACUGGGACUGAGACACGGCCCAGACUCCUACGGGAGGCAGCAGUAGGGAAUCUUCGGCAAUGGACGCAAGUCUGACCGAGCAACGCCGCGUGAGUGAAGAAGGUUUUCGGAUCGUAAAACUCUGUUGUUAGAGAAGAACAAGGAUGAGAGUGGAAAGUUCAUCCCUUGACGGUAUCUAACCAGAAAGCCACGGCUAACUACGUG